rnacentral:rRNA from 1 species
GAUGAACGCUGGCGGCGUGCCUAAUACAUGCAAGUCGAGCGAACAGAUAAGGAGCUUGCCCCUUUGACGUUAGCGGCGGACGGGUGAGUAACACGUGGGUAACCUACCUAUAAGACUGGAAUAACUCCGGGAAACCGGGGCUAAUGCCGGAUAACAUUUAGAACCGCAUGGUUCUAAAGUGAAAGAUGGUUUUGCUAUCACUUAUAGAUGGACCCGCGCCGUAUUAGCUAGUUGGUAAGGUAACGGCUUACCAAGGCAACGAUACGUAGCCGACCUGAGAGGGUGAUCGGCCACACUGGAACUGAGACACGGUCCAGACUCCUACGGGAGGCAGCAGUAGGGAAUCUUCCGCAAUGGGCGAAAGCCUGACGGAGCAACGCCGCGUGAGUGAUGAAGGUCUUCGGAUCGUAAAACUCUGUUAUUAGGGAAGAACAAAUGUGUAAGUAACUGUGCACGUCUUGACGGUACCUAAUCAGAAAGCCACGGCUAACUACAUG